AUUGAACGCUGGCGGCAUGCUUUACACAUGCAAGUCGAACGGCAGCGCGGGCUUCGGCCUGGCGGCGAGUGGCGAACGGGUGAGUAAUGCAUCGGAACGUGCCCAGUAGUGGGGGAUAGCGCGGCGAAAGCCGGAUUAAUACCGCAUACGACCUGAGGGUGAAAGCGGGGGACCGAAAGGCCUCGCGCCAUUGGAGCGGCCGAUGUCGGAUUGGCUAGUUGGUGGGGUAAAGGCUGACCAAGGCGACGAGCCGUAGCUGGUCUGCGAGGACGACCAGCCACACUGGGACUGAGACACGGCCCAGACUCCUACGGGAGGCAGCAGUGGGGAAUUUUGGACAAUGGGGGCAACCCUGAUCCAGCCAUGCCGCGUGCGGGAAGAAGGCCUUCGGGUUGUAAACCGCUUUUGUUCGGGAAGAAAUCCUCUGGGCUAAUACCCCGGGGGGAUGACGGUACCGGAAGAAUAAGCACCGGCUAACUACGUG
rnacentral:rRNA from 1 species